UACGUAGGGGGGCAAGCGUUGUCCGGAUUUAUUGGGCGUAAAGAGCGUGUAGGCGGCCAUGCAGGUCAGCUGUGAAAACUCGAGGCUCAACCUCGAGACGUCGGUUGAAACCGUAUGGCUAGAGUCCGGAAGAGGAGAGUGGAAUUCCCGGUGUAGCGGUGAAAUGCGCAGAUAUCGGGAGGAACACCGGUGGCGAAGGCGGUUCUCUGGGCCUGUACUGGACGCUGAGGAGC
rnacentral:rRNA from 1 species